rnacentral:misc_RNA from 1 species
GAUGAAGAACGUAGCGAAAUGCGAUAAGUAGUGUGAAUUGCAGAAUUCAGUGAAUCAUCGAAUCUUUGAACGCACAUUGCGCCCUAUGGUAUUCCGUAGGGCAUGCCUGUUCGAGCGUCAUUUGUACCUUCAAGCUCUGCUUGGUGUUGGGUGUUUGUCUCGCCUCUGCGUGUAGACUCGCCUCAAAACAAUUGGCAGCCGGCGUAUUGAUUUCGGAGCGCAGUACAUCUCGCGCUUUGCACUCAUAACGACGACGUCCAAAAGUACAUUUUUACACUCUUGACCUCGGAUCAGGUAGGGAUACCCGCUGAACUUAAGCAUAUCAAUAAGCGGAGGA